AGCUCUGUAGCGUUGACCAGGACGGGCAUGGUCAGAUAGAAGCCACAGAGAGGGGCAUGGAAAGCCCUGUGUUUGGGGUGGUGUGUUUCAGGAAAGGCUUCCUGGCCCCGAUGGACUUCAAGAUGCACCUGCAAGUCAUUUCCCUAAUUUAGCAGGAAGCCUUGCAGUCUUGCUGCAGUUGGCCAUGGUUUGAAGGGAUUGGAGACUUUGUUGCCAGUUUGCCUGGUGUGGAAGAGAGACCCUGCGGUCAGUCACUGAUGACUGCUACUUCAGAGUGCCUCUGGAGCCACGGCUAGGACAGGGGUCCCUCGGGCAUUCUGUCUGGCCUCCAGCACAGCGGCUGUUGUAACAACAGGAAAUCCUGCUGGGCCUGGAAGAAAUGUCAGUGUGGGAAGAUCUCCAGCAAGGCAUCUCCAUAACUCUUUUCCUGUCUUCCUCUUGAAAGACCAGAUUUGAAAGAGUCAGGAGCAGCGGCAGCGGGCGAUCGGGCCGUGCGGAGCCUCGGGCGCGGCCUCGCCUCCCGGCCCGGCGCCCGCAUCGGCACCGCCGCCAGCACAGCGCC